rnacentral:lncRNA from 1 species
AAAGACAAUUUCCUUUUCAGCAGCACUGGUACGGGCUUAGGAUGAUCUUGCCUGCUUCUUCAUUUCUCUCUUCCUCGUGAUAGCCUUUCUCUUCUCGGUCCCAGGGAGAGAGCAUGAGCGUUGAAACCUGCACCAGCAGCAGCCCAGGCGAGGCGGCUGCUUGUGCUAGGGCGCCCUCUAGAGCCGGAGAGAGGAAGCGGCGAGGGAGGUGGGCGGCAGGCGGCGCCUCUGCACCCAAGAAGCGCUUACCCCCAAAACAUAUGCUGGGCCCCAGAUGCCAGCCCUGGGUAACCAGCACGAAUGAACAGAGAUACCCCGGGCUGUGUAAAUCCUUGGUGAUCCCCUAGAUUCAUCCCUUGAGUUUUAAAACCGAGAAACUUGAUAUCCAGAGAAGAAAGGCCCUUUUGAGGCCAGGAUUCCAUGGGAGGAAGACCCUCUCCCCAACCCCUUAAUACCCACCCUCCCCAGCCAGCAGGACCUUUGGGGAGGAAAACCCUCUCCCCCACCCCUCAUACCUCCCCCCAGAUUCCCCAUCCCCUCUGGGGAAGGAAGACCCUCUCCCCCACCCCCUCGCGAGCCCCCCU